AAUAAAAUUAUUUAUGGUUUAAAAAUUUAUUAUAAAUUUAUUUUACAUAUAAAUUUUAGUGUUAAUUUUUAAUUUAUUUAAAUAAUAAUUAAUAUUUAUUUGUAGUAAUUAAAAUUAAAAAUUUAAGUAAUUAAGAUUUAGUAAUAUUUAAAUUAAUAACAAAUUUUGUGCCAGCAGUUGCGGUUAUACAAAAAUUAAAUUAAAUUUUUUUAGGGAUUAAUUAAUAAUAGAUUAUAUAAUAAAAUUAAAAUUUAAAUUAUUAAGUGAAAUUUUAAUUUAUGAAAAUUUUAUAUUGAAUUAUGAAUUAAAAAAUUUUAUUAAAGACUAGGAUUAGAUACCCUAUUAUUAAAAAUUUAAAUUAAUAAUACUAAAAUAGUAUAUAAUUAUUUAUAAAAACUUAAAUAAUUUGGCGGUAUUUUAGUUUAUUUAGAGGAAUCUGUUUAUUAAUUGAUAUUCCACGAAUAAAUUUACUUAAUUUAUUUAAUUUUGUAUAUCGUUGUUAAAAAAAUAUUUUAAAAUAAUAAUAAUAUUUUAAUUUUUAUAUUAAAAGUUAAAUCAGAUCAAGAUGCAGAUAUAUAAUUAAGAAUAUAAUGGAUUACAAUAAAUUUAUUUAAUUGGAUGUUAUUUUUAAAAAUUAACUGAAAUUGGAUUUAAAUGUAAUUUUAUUUAAUUUAUUAAAAUGAUUUUAAUUCAAAAUAUGUACAUAUUGCCCGUCGCUUUCAUUAAUAAAUUGAAAUAAGUCGUAACAAAGUAGAGGUACUGGAAAGUGUUUCUAGAAAGAGU
rnacentral:ncRNA from 1 species